AUAGGCAAUGAUCAGGCGAACGAUUGUCUCUUCGGAGACAUCCGAUAAAAUUGGAACGAUACAGAGAAGAUUAGCAUGGCCCCUGCGCAAGGAUGACACGCACAAAUCGAGAAAUGGUCCAAAUUUUUUUGUCAUUUGAUCUCUGGGCUCCGUGGUUCUUUGAUUUCUGUGUGUUUUUUGUUUCAGGAAUGAUUUGUUUGCUCUGUGAUUACUUGGAUCUUUGUCCUUGUCUUUGUUUGAUUUGUUUAUGGCUUUCAAUCAGGAGUUUGUUUCUGAUAGGGUCUCCCUUCCUUUUCCUUUUCUCGUUUGCGUAGGGUGGUUUUCGAUCGGGUUUAUCCUUCUGAUUCGAACUCUCUUGUUUGGUUUGUUUGAUACGUUUCAGGUUCUCACACCCGAAGAAUAUGUAUGGAUUCCAUGAACUCGCUCGUUAAAUUAGUUGGUUUUUCAUGCAUAAAUCUAGAUCUUGUCCAAUUUAUUCUCUCUCUUGCCCUGUCGGUUCUCUCUCUUCUUCGUUUUCAUUUUUAUUUGGUUUGAUUUGAUUGUGUCUCUCAAUCAGGUUCUUCUUUCUGAACCGAUCUCCUUUUUCUUUUCCAUCCCUUUGUGUUCUCAUUAGGUUUUUCCCCUGUGUUGUUCUUAAUAGGUUUCUCGUUCCUAAUUCGAUCUCUUUUGGUUCUUUUGUUUGGUUUGUUUAGAUCAGUUUCAAGUUCUGAAACCCUAAGAACAUGGAUGGAAUCUCAAAUUUGCUGUUAGUUGUCUAUUUACGUUGCAUUUUUUGCCUAACAGAAUGAAGAAGCUUAUCGAUUGUGGUGGCUGACGCUUUACUCUUCCAACUUAUUUGGCUUCUGGAUAUCACCUCCAUUUUUUAGUCUUUCUUUGCUCAACCAUGGACUAUAAAUAUUCAACACAAGAUAGAACUCUACUCUAAACUAGCCAUCCCCUUUCGAAUCACACACCAUUGUGAUGAAUUCAGCAGUGAAAAUAAAAUAUAUAUACUGAUCAAAUUCUGGGUAGUAAUGCACACAGUUCCAUUUAUCAUGAAUGCGUCCAAUAUAUAUUUAAUACAUGAAACACAUCAAUUGAUUCUUGUUAUUUGCCUUGGCCACUUGCACUUUUUCAUUCUAAUAUUAGGUGUUUCGGUAUUCGGAUUUUCUAGCAUAUGGGCAUCAUUGUUUAAUUUUAACUAGAUACGACCCUUCAGCAGCUGAGCAGUACUCACUUUCGAUUUGUUAUAACCUAAUACUAAAGUGUGUUGAAUUUCCUGCUUGUCUCGCUGCAUAUUUUUUGGCAAAUGUGUUUUGAUCUUGUAGUUUACUUACUAUGAAGAGACUGGGAUUUCUCCCACAAUAACAUGCUGGCAUGUGACUUGAACUUGAGAUGAUGCCUUUCUAUUGCUGUUGCAAUUACAGCUUUUAAUAAAUUCAAUUAGAGAAGCAACCUGGAAUGGGUCUAGAAGUAAGUUCUGCACUAAGGGAAAUGCUGGAGAAGAGGAAUGGACCAAGGUUGAUGAUGUGUAAACUCCAUUAGUGACAGUAAACCAACUACUUGCUUUACAUAAGUUGCUUGGAAAAAUGCAACUAAAUAUAAAUGUCCUGAAGUUCAUUAUGAUUAUUAGCAGUAGGUACCAGUUUGACAGAAUUAUUGAAAAUCAUGUCUGGACUUUUCUUUGUACAGAAUGUUGAACCUGCUACGCUGCAUUGCUUGCAUCAGUUUUCUCUCUAAUUAUAGACACUGACCAUGUGGAUAAGUAUAUUUUCGUGUAUUUUACAUGCAGUGAAAGUAUAUAUAGGUGGCUUGCCUCCUAAACCUUCUUGUUCACCAUGAAAACUGUUCUUGCAAUGUAACAAAGCAACAUUUGCUUUAGGUGAAGCUGUCAUUGUUUAUUUCCUGUGUUUAUCUAAUGGGACUGAAUGAAUACAGGUGGUUCUAAAUUAAGCUGUUCAUAAAUGUUCUUUCAUUAGUGCGUGAUGCAUUGUAAAGACAACGAUUUUUAUUUGAAUAGCAAAAUUACUCUUGCUUCCUUUAUCCUCAAUAACAUGUCCUCAUGUUCUUUCUGCUUUUGUAGCUGAGAAGAAAAAUAUAUUGGUCUUCAGAGCCUGAUUCUAAGAUAUUAUUUAUUCUAUAUUUCAGAUUUACUUUUUAUGUCUGAGAGAUUUUUGGUUUUGGUACUUUAUGACCGAGUCAUGGCUUUGCAACUGAUCUAUAAAAAUAUGAAUUGUGCAUUUUCAAAAAAGAAACUUAAUGGAGCAUGAUGUUUUGAAGUGUUAAUUUUUCUUGCCAGUUGAGUCCUAGGGUACAUUGGGGUAGCUGCUAUCCAUUCAUGAUCCUCGAUCGUGAAUAGUUUCCUUUACUAUCAGCAGAUUGUUCAUAGUUACCAAUAGGAUCACACUUAUUCUUUGCCUUUGUUUUGCCCAAUUAUUGUUGAGCAAACAAACCCCGGAAACAUGGAGUUGCUUCUCUUUGUCACUGACCUUAGGAAUUAUUCAGCAACAUGAACGACCCCAUAUCUAUUGCUUCACAUUCAUCCUCACCUGCGCUUCAUAUUAUAUAUCUAAUUUUGUGGAACUAAUUGGAUUCAUGUACUACAGAGUACCUUACGAAGAUCCUCUCACCAAUGUGAAGUAAAUGAGAAACAAGUAGAAAUUUGGAAGGCGAUGCCAUUAUGAUCCCUUAUAAUAAUUCUCAUAUAGUUAUGGAAUAAGCCACAUUGGUAUUAAUUUCGAAGAAUCCAUAUACUCGAGAUGCCCAUCUCAUUUGUGUGUUUGAUAGUGAUGGAGUUUUGUGUCCUACAGGGGACAAAAUAAAUGGAUGAAAUAGCUAAUGAGAAAAGAUGGAGCUGUUCACCAAAUAACCCAAGCAUUUGAAGUAGUAAAGCCUAUCGUGUUAGAUAUCUGUCUAAAUAGAUACUUGGAGUUCAUCUAUUAGUUCUUCAACUGGCAUUUUCAUUAACAAGAGGACUUGUGUCCCAUAUAUGCUCUCUCAUCCUGUUACUCCUCCAACACAAUUCUAUUAAAGAAUACGAAAUUCUUUGUGGACCGUGGAGGUGUUUGAAUGAAUGUUUAGAAAAAAGGGUGUAAGACAAGCUUGGUACAGUUCAUAUGACAUCUUUUGCAUUAGCGUAUAGUGUUAGUAACACUAAAACAUUAUGGGUAAUUAAUAUGAAUAAUAUUCUUUUCUAAAGGAACAAUGCUAAAGUUGUGUUAUGUGAAAAUUUUAAAAAUUGGGCAAAUAUUGUGCUUCCCUAUUAUCAAGGUCAAUCACAAGGACAAAUAAAUGGGCAGGUUGGAAUCUAGAACUACAUUUCCUACUGUUAAUGGAGGAACGGAAUAUUAGAAUAAUAGACGCGAGGAAUAUUAGAUUUUGGGUAUUAACUUUUAGUUGGCACAUCACUGGGCCAGACCUAAGAGACAUGCAAAGGCCCGUCACAAGUCAGGCUGGGCUAAACCAGGGUUUAAAGAUGGUGGCGGUUAGGAAAAUAAUCCCACUCACGAUCUAUUUGAUAACUUGCUCUACGUAGGAGUCGACAAGAUAUCGAAAUGUUUUCUUGGAAACAUCCAAUUAAAUUGAAAUGAUAUAGAAAAUAUUUGCAUGGCUCCUGUCAGACACAAAUAUUUAGUUUCCCGCAUUUGAUCUUUCGUUGUUUUUGUUGUUUGAUUGUCACUCAGGUGUUUCCUUCUCUUGUUUUCUCUUUCUGGGUUGAUUUAUUUCUCUUCUUAUUUUGUUUGAUUUGUUUGUAAUAUUUCUUUAUGAUCUGAUAUUUUUCUUUUGGUUUAAUUCGGUUGUGAUUCUCAAUCAGGCUCUUCUUUCUGAAUUGAUCCUCGUUUCAUCUUCCUUUUCUUUGGUUCUUAACAUGGACCUUUUCCCCUUUGUGGUUCUCAAAUCAUGGUUUUGGUUUGUUAUGAUCAUUUGCUGGUUCUGAAACCUUAAGAACAUGGAUGAAGCCCUGAAUUAUCUUGCUACUAUAUAUUAGUUAUCCUUGCAUGUAAAUGCACACCUGUAUACUUUAUUCUGCCUACACCAUGAAGAAGGUUGUCAGUUGUGGUGUUAGCUGCCAAUUGCACUAGUCUUUUCGUUCUAGCAUUAAAAAAAGGAAAGAGGAUCACAGAGUGUGAUAUGGCCUUUGUAGAAGAGGGAAAAGGGUGAAGAUUUAAGAAGACAGUGAUGUAGGACAUCCCUUCUCGAAGCCUUGUUUGUCUAUAUAGACAAGAAGAAUUCAGAGUUUGCAACUGAGAAAGAACCGAAAUAAGAUUCUAGAUUCUUGUGAACUAGAAACAUCUUAAAUAGUUGGUCGUCGAUUUUUAAGAAGGAAGGAGCACAUGGAUGGAGUUUGGCUUCAACAGUUGUCCUUCUAUUAGCAAUAAAUAUGCUGUCAGAAGUAAUGCCAUUCAUGAAUUACUUGUUCUUCUGUCUUUUUACUAACUUGCUACUAUAGUCACAACCUGUUUGGUUGCAUUCUUCAAAGGUAACUUUUUUAGCUCUAGCAUUUCAUUUAUCAGGGAAACAGACAAAGAAAAAAUGGAUAGUUGAUGCAAGCCGAGAUGAUUAGAUGAACGUAGAAACACAACUUGUACAGGUGUAGCUUGAUCAUUUUCAGUUGAGCCCAAGUCCAAUUUGUAAACGGAUACAAAAUCUGCAAGUCUAAUUGGAAUCAGCUUGACAUCAGAUAUAUUCACAGAGACGAGUUUAGUUAUCUUACACAUUAAUGCAGUCACUCGUAGCAGGUUAUAUUAAGCCAAGGUAUUGUCAUGUUUGAGAAUGUUUUUGGUUGAUUUAAUAAAAUCAAGUCCUUUUUUUUUCAUUUUUUACUAUAUGUGGAAAGGUAAUUGGAUUAGAUUAGGUUUAGUUUUGUUAGUUGAAAUGUUUAGGUUUCUAAAAUUUGGAAAUUUAUUUGGAGUUGCUUGGUAAUUGGCAACUAUAUCUUCUCUGAGUACUUCCAUGCUUUACUUGCUUUUGAUUUUUUUUUUUUUUUGACUUCUAUACUAAUUUCAAGUUCACACUCUCAUGUUUUUCACUUGUCCAUAAAACUCUGAUGAUAUCAUGUGGUUUGUUCUGGGCUUAUGAGAAGUUUGUCAGUAAAAAGAUAUAUGAGUUGAUACUGUUGAUGUGGUCUUCCUCUAAAGAAUGAGCUCUUGGUAUAUGUUGAAAUAUACAGACCUUUUCAUAAGUGAGUUUUCGAAAGAUGACUGUUUAAUCUAGUAUUCGUUGUAAAUUUUCAUUCUUUUGUGAUAGUAAUACUAACCCAUUUAUUUAUAUUUUGCCAAUUUUCUUAUGUGUGUUUCAAAUGAAUUCAGGUUAGUGCUGUUGCGAACACGGAAGCAAAGAAAAGUUCUUCUCAUACUGUAUUAAAGCAGUAAUGGUUGCCCACAUGAGAUUCUCUGAGCAAGAGCUGUCUGUCAUUGAAACUGAAGAUUACAGCCAAUAACCCCUCUCACAGGUGAGAUUAUUCCACCAACUCUUAAAGAUCUCUUAAAGGUUGGGUUCUAAAGAAAUGAAAAGCAAAUUUAACUUGUGUCCAAGUUCCCAGAGCUGUAGUUUCUUAUGAAGCACAGAGGCAGAGAUGAGACUGGUACAGGGGAUAUUGAUGGUGACAUUUACUGCCCCCACCUCCAAUGCAAGAGAGAUUAUUGUCAGAGUCAUUAUAUGUUUACCUUUUGCAACAACCUGAUGAACUCCAUCAACCCUUUUCCUAUCCUACAUCCUCAUCUCUCCACCAUCUCCACCCUACUCCCUCCAGCCAUGCAUUAAACAGCCUUAACAUCAUCUAUCCAACUCCUUUAAAACCCUCUUUAUGAGAGAGAAGGAAUCCGAGGUUUCUCAUCGACUGGGAGCUGAACUCCUCCUUCUCACCUCACCCCAUCCAACCCGGCAGUGGAGCUUGAUGGCUUGCAGCUGCCACAAGCCUCGUUACCUGAGGCUAAAUAAGCUUCCUCCAGAGACAGAAGAGGAUGAAAUCAGUCGCGGAUCCAAAGAGAUGGCGGUGGUGUUCAAGAGGAGGCGGCACGGCUGGCUGAGGCUGAACAGAAGUGGGAGGUGGCGAAAGCCGAGGGUCCGGGUGGCCGGGCUGAGGAAGUUCCUGAGUAAGGCCACCGUAGUGGGGGUUGCAGUGAGGGUGUCAGUGGCCAAGGUGCUCACGAGGUUGAAGGAGGGAAGGCCUUAUCUGGGGGAACUCUUUGCAGGUAACUACAUGUUCAUGCAAGUGAGCCCUUCACCAACCAUUCCGUACGUGGAGAAGUCAUUCUCGCUCGCUAAGCACCGGCACCGACAUCACCCACCGCCAUCACAUUUGAUGCUCUAAACGUUUGCUUCUAGUCUUUCUUCUAACCAGAGGUAUAAUAAUGGUCUUGUCUCAGUGCUGCUGCUCUGUUGCUUUUGUAUAAUAAUGAUGGGCUUGUCUCAGAGGUAAAGUUAUUGUGUCUCUGAUCUCAGCUAUCAUGUUUUAGCCAUCUAUGUUGUCCAAUUUUUGUUCUAUUAUGAGCAUAAUGAUUUAUUGUGAGUGGUAAUCUUUCUUCCUUAGUGGAUGUCACAUUAAUUCUUUACAACAAUAAAAAAAAAAUAUUUUAUUA